CCUGUACGUGUGCAGGAAAUAAAAUUGUUUUCACUUUUAGAGCAAACUAAGCGCCACUUAGAGACACGAGUUAAUGAACAUAUUUGUGAUAUCAAGGAUGUUAGCUGCCAGUCGGUGGUUAGCAAUCAUAGACUGUGUCAUAACCACAACUUUGAUUGGUGUAAUACUAAAGUUUUACAUCAGGAAAGUAAUCGCAGGAAGAGAGAGAUCGCGGAAAUGUGUUUUAUCAAAUGUAAUGACAAUUCUAUUAAUGUUCACAAAGACACGGAUAAUCUUCCUUGUAUAUAUGACUCUAUUUUUAAAUGUGUUUGAGGACUGUUUUCGAGAUUUGACUUUGUUUUGCUUGUUGACUGGCUUCUCUCUCUCAUUUGUGUUUCAUCUGCUGUGGUGUGACACGUUCUCUUGUUAAUCCGAGUGUUUGUUAAAGUUGUUUUCUGCCAAAAGCGACUUUUAUGUAAAACUAAAGUGUGGGGUGUUUUCACGCUUGAGAAGGACCGAAAUAGUUGGGUCGAAACGUUGCGUGAUUUGUCAUCACUGUAUAACCAGUUUGUGGUCGAAUAAAUAAAUUUCUAUAUAUAUUGAUUCACUGG